GACGAACGCUGGCGGCGUGCCUAAUACAUGCAAGUCGAACGCAGUGGGGACGGGUGAGUAACACGUGGGUAACCUCCCAUCAGAGGGGAUAACACUUGGAAACAGGUGCUAACCCGAUACUGAUGGAUGGACCCGCGGUGCAUUAGCUAGUUGGUGAGGUAACGGCUCACCAAGGCCACGAUGCAUAGCGGACCUGAGAGGAUGACCAGCCACACUGGAAUGGAGACAGGGUCCAGACUCCUACGGGAGGAAUCAGUGGGGAAUAUUGCAAAAUGGGCGAAAGCCUGAUGCAGCCAUGCCGCGUGUAUGAAGAAGGCCUUCGGGUUGUAAAGUAAUUUCAGCGGGGAGGCGUUACCCGCAGAAGAAGCACCGGCUAACUCCGUGCCAGCAGCCGCGGUAAUAC
rnacentral:rRNA from 1 species